rnacentral:rRNA from 1 species
AUUGAACGCUGGCGGCAGGCUUAACACAUGCAAGUCGAGCGGGGUGAUGGUGCUUGCACUAUCACUUAGCGGCGGACGGGUGAGUAAUGCUUAGGAAUCUGCCUAUUAGUGGGGGACAACAUCUCGAAAGGGAUGCUAAUACCGCAUACGUCCUACGGGAGAAAGCAGGGGAUCACUUGUGACCUUGCGCUAAUAGAUGAGCCUAAGUCGGAUUAGCUAGUUGGUGGGGUAAAGGCCUACCAAGGCGACGAUCUGUAGCGGGUCUGAGAGGAUGAUCCGCCACACUGGGACUGAGACACGGCCCAGACUCCUACGGGAGGCAGCAGUGGGGAAUAUUGGACAAUGGGGGGAACCCUGAUCCAGCCAUGCCGCGUGUGUGAAGAAGGCCCUAUGGUUGUAAAGCACUUUAUGCGAGGAGGAGGCUCUUUUGGUUAAUACCCAAGAUGAGUGGACGUUACUCGCAGAAUAAGCACCGGCUAACUCUGUGCCAGCAGCCGCCGUAA